GGGUGUGGAGUGACCUCCCGUGUGCUACAGACAGAGGUGCCCCCUCUGAAUGCAGUGGCUGCAGCAGUGUGGGACAGUGGAGCAUGAGGUCUGAAGGAAGGGACAGGCAUUGACUGUGGGCAGGGCAGGAGCGAAGGAUGGACAGGAGGAGGGAAAAGAGAAAGGGGGAAGCUGGCGCCUUUGGGUUGGAACCUGCGGCCCCUGAUUCAAGCAGCUGGGGGUGAAGUUGGAUACAGCCUCUCCCUCAGCACUUUAACACAGGACUGAGUGGAGGAGGGACCGCCAACUUGGGGGGAUCCUGCUGAGCCUCGUCUGGCCAAGGCCCCUUCCAGAAAGCUCCCACUCCCUGCUCAGGGCCCCCACCGCACGCUGCUAAGAUGCCUCCAUCCGCCAGCCACCCGGAAGGAUGGGACAACUGGAAUGUUGAAAUGGCUCCUACCCAGGCCUGUCUCAGCCUCUGAACUUCCUGCACCAGCCUGUGGUGGCUCUGGCUUCUUGUCAAAAAGGUGACCUUCUGCAAGCUAGGAAGCCAGCAAGAAGGCCCUCACCAAGCACUGAAUCUGCCAGCAGCUUGAUCUUGGACGUCCCAGCCUCCAGAGAUGCUAGAAAUAAAUGCCUGAAGUUUGAACCUCCCUGUGUAUGGUAUUUUCUACGACCUGAACAGUCUAAAACAAAAUGACUAUACCUGCAUGACAUGAAGAGACCGGCUGAGACCUGGGACCUGGGACCCUUUGCUGCAAUGCUUACAUCUGGAGAAACGUUCCUGGAGCAACAAAAGUACGAAGAAACUAUAAGGCAUGAGAAAUAACCAUGCACAGGCAGUUUGGGCAAAUUAUGGACAAGACAUAAAAAGGCCAGAAACCACUGCCACUUCGAAAAAGCUGGGAACAAAAGCAGGGUGUUCUACAUGCCGCCUGCACUCAAGAGCACCCAGGGGUGGGCAAACCAUCCAAGCCACCCCUCUGGCCCAACCCCUGGACACAGCCCUAACUUCACCCCAAGUACGGAACCACCUUGCCCUCCCUGCUCAGGGAGCCAGCAAGGGAAACUUAUUUGUUUUUAUUUCCCCUUGCUGCAGUAGAAGCCCCAAUA